UACGAACUGCGCGAACGUUAUUCGGAUUCACUGGGCUUAAAGGGUGCGUAGGCGGCUUGUUAAGUGGGAUGUGAAAUUUUGCGGCUCAACCGUAAGACUGCAUCUCAUACUGGCAAGCUGGAGUGAGUCAGGGGUGUGUGGAACUGCCAGUGGAGCGGUGAAAUGUGUUGAUAUUGGCAGGAACGCCGGUGGCGAAAGCGACACACUGGGGCUUAACUGACGCUGAGGCACGAAAGCCAGGGGAGCAAACGGG
rnacentral:rRNA from 1 species